UACGGAGGGGGCGAGCGUUAUUCGGAAUUACUGGGCGUAAAGCGCACGUAGGCGGCUUUCUAAGUCGGGGGUGAAAUCCUGGAGCUCAACUCCAGAACUGCCUUCGAUACUGGAAAGCUCGAGUCCGGGAGAGGUGAGUGGAACUGCGAGUGUAGAGGUGAAAUUCGUAGAUAUUCGCAAGAACACCAGUGGCGAAGGCGGCUCACUGGCCCGGUACUGACGCUGAGGUGCGAAAGGCGUGGGGAGCAAACAGG
rnacentral:rRNA from 1 species